ACUCCUACGGGAGGCAGCAGUGGGGAAUAUUGGACAAUGGGCGCAAGCCUGAUCCAGCCAUGCCGCGUGAGUGAUGAAGGCCCUAGGGUUGUAAAGCUCUUUCACCGGUGAAGAUAAUGACGGUAACCGGAGAAGAAGCCCCGGCUAACUUCGUGCCAGCAGCCGCGGUAAUACGAAGGGGGCUAGCGUUGUUCGGAUUUACUGGGCGUAAAGCGCACGUAGGCGGACUAUUAAGUCAGGGGUGAAAUCCCGGGGCUCAACCCCGGAACUGCCUUUGAUACUGGUAGUCUUGAGUUCGAGAGAGGUGAGUGGAAUUCCGAGUGUAGAGGUGAAAUUCGUAGAUAUUCGGAGGAACACCAGUGGCGAAGGCGGCUCACUGGCUCGAUACUGACGCUGAGGUGCGAAAGCGUGGGGAGCAAACAGGAUUAGAAACCCCUGUAGUCC
rnacentral:rRNA from 1 species